rnacentral:tRNA from 1 species
GCGUCUGUAGCUCAGUUGGAUAGAGCAACGGACUUCUAAUCCGUAGGCCGCAGGUUCGAAUCCUGCCAGACGCGCCA